UGACCAGUGCCGGGCUCGAUCCGGCGACCUUAUCGGUGUUAACGAUACGUGAUAACCAACUACACCAACCGGCC
rnacentral:tRNA from 2 species